rnacentral:rRNA from 1 species
AUGAAGAAAGAAGAGAGUUCAUCGAUUACUUCUGUGAUGGAUCUGGUUGUUGAGUGUGGUGCAAUAGUAGGCAGUGAUGAAUAUUUCAUUGCUAGUGAACUAUUUGUGAAGCGAGAGCAGAGAGAGAUGUUCCUGCAUAUGACUGAAAGUGCUGCUCGUUUAGAUUGGUUGCGUAGGAAAUACAACAGCAAGUAUGGGCAUUAG